AUCGCAGUUGCCUCAUUGUGUUGUUUCGUGUUGCUAUGGUUAUUGCGAACGUGGCUUGGAACCGAGGUUUUGGCUGCUGGGAUUUUGAUUGUUGAUUUUGGGUCGAGGCAGAAAGGAUUCUGUGACGCGUUUGGGUUAUGAAAUUGCGUUUUGAGGAUUUGGGCGCAGAAGUUAUGAAGAGUUUAAUUAUUUGUUAUUGAGAUGCUCUGUAUUGCUUUAGAUUAUUAUUUUGUAC